GACGAACGCUGGCGGCGUGCUUAACACAUGCAAGUCGAACGGAAAGGCCAUGCUCUUGUGGCUUGCUCGAGUGGCGAACGGGGGAGUAACACGUGUGUAACAUGUCCCUAUCUUUGGGAUAAAUUCAGGAAACAGGGGCGCAUAUAGCGUAGGAUCUCUUGCUGCACGUUGGGGGAUGGAAAGUUCCGGCGGUUGUGGCUGGAAUGGCGGCUUAUCCGCUAGUUGGUGGGGUAGGGGAUUACGAAGGCUUUGACGGGUAGCCGGCCUGAGAGGGGGACCGGCCACAAUGGGACUGAGAUACGGCCCAGAAGGCUAUGGGAGGCAGCAGUGGAGAAUAUGGCACAACGGGCGGAAGCCUGAUGCAGCAAUGCCGGGUGCGGGAUGACGUGUUUCUGGUUGUAAACAGCUGUCGACUGUGACGAAGAGUGAGUGACGGUAAUGGGUAAGGAAGCACCGGCUAACUACGUG
rnacentral:rRNA from 1 species